AAGACAAUAGGAAAUGGAGAGUUCUAUUGAUUUGUUUCUUGGAAAUUCGGAAGAAGAAAAUCCCCUGAAUGUUGCGCUGAUGAGAAAAAAAUAUUCGAGAUCACUCCAAUUCAUUGGAACUUCCAAACAAAAAAUUUAUAAGUUAUUUUAGACUCAACAAAGACGCAUUUGUUUAUGUGCUAAAUGAAAUCAAAGAUCAUUUGAAACAACCACAGCGUUCCUCCGUUCCCACCACUCCUCAAACUCUGCACUGCCCUACGUUUCAUGGCAGAAGGAAGUUACCAAAAGUGCAGUGGAUUUUAAUUUAGGCCUUGCUCAGCCAACAGUUUCGGUAGUGUUAAGAGAAGUGCUAGACGUAGUAGAAGAACUUGGCUCGUAUGACAAAUGAUGAGAUGAAUUUAUCAAAAAUUCAUUUUUACCAGAAAACCUGGUAAAUAGGAUGUAUCGAUGGAACUCAUGUUCGAAUCAUAGCACCAAAAAAAGUCUUCAACAUCUCUAUUUAAAUAGAAAAGGUUACUAAAGUCUGAAUGUCAUGAUUGUUUGUGACUACAAAAUGAAUGUGCGUUUCGUAGAUUCCAGAUAUUCCGGUGCUAAUCACGAUUCAUUUGUUUACAAUUUAAGUGAAUAUACAUAAGGAAAUGUUAAAUGAAUUGGAUGAGAACACUUUUAUUUUGGGAGAUGCUGGAUAUCCUUUAGAGAAACAUCUAAUGACUCCUUUUCGAUUGGCUGACAGUGGGAGUGCAGAAUCACGUUUCAAUACCAUACACGCACCAACAAGAAACAUUAUUGAAAGAUAGAUUGGCGUGAUCAAAAGUAAAUUCAGGUGCCUCCUAUCUGCCCGAGGACUGCAUUACAGUCCUGAAAGAGCUGCGAAAUUUGUCAAUGCAAGUUGUGCCUUACAUAACAUAAGUCAACAUUUUAAAGUAGUAUAUGUCGGUGAAAUUCAAAAUGAUGCCGCGAUUGAUUCAAAUGAUCAUGAUGUCAAUGAUUUUGUCCAUGGAGUAACUGAAUCAAGAGCAAGAGAAAUCAGAAACAACAUAAUGAAUUCAUUUUAGUUAAGUAGUAUUAUUAGUUUAGUUAGUAUUUUUAAUUUACAUAAAAGUUGUGUAAAUACAAAAAAAAACUUAAAUAAAGAAAAUUUCUCAAAAAAAAAACAAAAAAAAAUUAACCAUAUAAAAUUCACAGAAUUUGAAAUCUUAAAACUAAAACAAAAAAACUAAUUAUUCUUUAAAAAAAAGGCUAUGUUGAGAAGGUUGUUUGAAGUUGCAGGAUUUCGAUUUUCCUUUUUUGAUUUGCACAUUCAAAGCAUGGAGCUCCGAAGCUUCUUCACAUUUUUUCUUUUUUAGUUUGAUAGA